rnacentral:rRNA from 1 species
UACGGGGGGGGGCAAGCGUUGUUCGGAAUUACUGGGCGUAAAGGGCGCGUAGGCGGCACGACGAGUCGGGAGUGAAAGGCCCGGGGCUCAACCCCGGAGGGUCUCUCGAUACUGUCGAGCUAGAGUGCGGAAGAGGCAGCCGGAAUUCUCAGUGUAGCGGUGAAAUGCGUAGAUAUCUGGAGGAACACCGGUGGCGAAGGCGGCGAUCCCUGG